rnacentral:rRNA from 1 species
UACGUAGGGUGCAAGCGUUAAUCGGAAUUACUGGGCGUAAAGCGUGCGCAGGCGGUUAUGUAAGACAGGUGUGAAAUCCCCGGGCUUAACCUGGGAACUGCAUUGGUGACUGCAUCGCUCGAGUAUGGCAGAGGGGGGGUAGAAUUCCACGUGUAGCAGUGAAAUGCGUAGAGAUGUGGAGGAAUACCGAUGGCGAAGGCAGCCCCCUGGGUCAAUACUGACGCUCAUGCACGAAAGCGUGGGGAGCAAACAGG